rnacentral:rRNA from 1 species
CGACCGGCGCACGGGUGAGUAACACGUAUCCAACCUGCCGAUAACUCGGGGAUAGCCUUUCGAAAGAAAGAUUAAUAUCCGAUAGCAUAUCAAUCCCCGCAUGAGAUUGAUAUUAAAGAAUUUCGGUUAUCGAUGGGGAUGCGUUCCAUUAGUUUGUUGGCGGGGUAACGGCCCACCAAGACUACGAUGGAUAGGGGUUCUGAGAGGAAGGUCCCCCACAUUGGAACUGAGACACGGUCCAA